rnacentral:rRNA from 1 species
GACGAACGCUGGCGGCGUGCUUAACACAUGCAAGUCGCAAGGCGUGGCGAACGGUUGCGUAACACGGAGAUGACCUGCCCUGCCCUUCGGGAGAAGGCUGGGAACAUGGAUCGACUACCGGAUAGUGUUGGAUGUGCCCGCGGCCUAUCAGCUUGUGGGUGGGGUAAUGGCGUACCAAGGCGGCGACGGGUAGCCGGCCUGAGAGGGUGGACGGCCACAUUGGGACUGCGACACGGCCCAGACUCCGACGGGAGGCAGCAGUGUGGAAUAUUGCACAAUGGGCGGAAGCCUGAUGCAGCGACGCCGAGUGUGGGAUGACGGCCGUCGGGUUGUAAACUCCUUUCACCAUCGACGCGGUAGAUUGAGAAGAAGCACCGGCUAACGACGUGCCAGCAGCCGCGGUAAUUC